rnacentral:rRNA from 1 species
GACGUAGGGCGCGAGCGUUGUCCGGAUUUAUUGGGCGUAAAGAGCUCGUAGGCGGCUUGUCGCGUCGGCUGUGAAAACUUGGGGCUCAACCCCAAGCCUGCGGUCGAUACGGGCAGGCUCGAGUUCGGUAGGGGAGACUGGAAUUCCUGGUGUAGCGGUGAAAUGCGCAGAUAUCAGGAGGAACACCGAUGGCGAAGGCAGGUCUCUGGGCCGAUACUGACGCUGAGGAGCGAAAGCUAGGGGAGCAAACAGG